rfam:Triticum aestivum genome assembly, contig: Triticum_aestivum_CS42_TGACv1_scaffold_329215_4BS
CAAAUACUCCUUCCAUCUCAAAAUUCUUGUUUUAGAUUUAUCUAAAUACGAAUGUAUCUAUAAAAUGUAAUUAGAUACAUUCGUAUUUAGACAAAUCUAAGACAAAUUUUUUGGGACAGAGGAAGUAAUAC